AUGGAAAAGACGACUGGGCGGACAUAAAGUGUAUCAGGACACAUUCAGCUGUGGGGUCUUUGUAAUGCAGGGUUCAACAAAGCCAACAACUGCUUCAUGUGGGCCACUGAUAAAGAACCUGGAUGUGGCCCAAAGACUGACUGGGAAUGAAGACAAAAGAGUUCAACAGAGUAAAGAACACAAACUGGAAGUGCAGUCUUUGUUGUUGAAAACUAUGCUAUACCCCAUCCACAC